rnacentral:rRNA from 1 species
UACGGAGGGUGCAAGCGUUAAUCGGAAUUACUGGGCGUAAAGCGUGCGUAGACGGUUACAUAAGUCGGGUGUGAAAGCCCCGGGCUCAACCUGGGAAUUGCAUUCGAGACUGCGUAGCUAGGGUGCGGAAGAGGGAAGCGGAAUUUCCGGUGUAGCGGUGAAAUGCGUAGAUAUCGGGAGGAACACCUGUGGCGAAAGCGGCUCACUGGACAGUAACUGACGCUGAUGCACGAAAGCUAGGGGAGCAAACAGG